UAGAGCCUGCCCUGCCGGUGGUAGAGAGGUUUAAAUUGGGGUCCACAAGGUGAGCCAAUUGGGAGCUCGGUCUCCGGAACUGUCCUGAGGGCGUUUCGGGAGAGCACCCACCUAAAGCUUAGGGGCCCACCGUAGCCUCCUUGCCACCGCACGGGUGGGUUUCUU
rnacentral:sRNA from 1 species